GACGUAGGGGACGAGCGUUGUCCGGAUUUAUUGGGCGUAAAGCGCGCGUAGGCGGCUUGGAAAGUCGGAUGUGAAAAUCCGGGGCUCAACCCCGGACCUGCAUCCGAUACUUCCAGGCUAGAGGUAGGUAGGGGAGAUCGGAAUUCCUGGUGUAGCGGUGAAAUGCGCAGAUAUCAGGAGGAACACCGGUGGCGAAGGCGGAUCUCUGGGCCUUACCUGACGCUGAGGCGCGAAAGCGUGGGGAGCGAACAGG
rnacentral:rRNA from 1 species